UGGGGAAUUUUGGACAAUGGGCGCAAGCCUGAUCCAGCAAUGCCGCGUGCAGGAUGAAGGCCUUCGGGUUGUAAACUGCUUUUGUACGGAGCGAAAAGGUUUUCUCUAAUACAGGAGGCCCAUGACGGUACCGUAAGAAUAAGCACCGGCUAACUACGUGCCAGCAGCCGCGGUAAUACGUAGGGUGCAAGCGUUAAUCGGAAUUACUGGGCGUAAAGCGUGCGCAGGCGGUGUUGUAAGACAGAGGUGAAAUCCCCGGGCUCAACCUGGGAACUGCCUUUGUGACUGCAACGCUAGAGUACGGCAGAGGGGGAUGGAAUUCCGCGUGUAGCAGUGAAAUGCGUAGAUAUGCGGAGGAACACCGAUGGCGAAGGCAAUCCCCUGGGCCUGUACUGACGCUCAUGCACGAAAGCGUGGGGAGCAAACA
rnacentral:rRNA from 1 species